ensembl:lncRNA
CUCAGUCCUUUCAGCGUACACUUAAAUCCUGUUGUUAGCAAUUCCCUUGCAUAGAUAUUUUUUUCAAAAAGACAUCUUUACAAAAUGCAGAAAUAAAUUCACCCUUAAAAACAAAGACCGUUCCUCAAAAUUAAAUUUCCCAGAAAUUAAAGUUCACAGGACUAAAACAAUUGCCCUUGCCCAGGCACAUUAACCAGCAAGAGCAGAGAGGUACAUAUCUACACUGGUAGCAAAGGUGCUUUCCUCCACAAAUUGCCUUGGAGGGUCCAUGGUGACAGCACAGGGCAAGCACUGUGACUGGCUGAAGACCUUGAUGUCAUAAAGGCCAGCUGCCGGCGCCAGAGAAUAAAAGAAGAUGGCCGUGGGGCAGGGAGGGGAUGACCAGACUUCAGCCACUCCUCCUCCUGGUCCUUUCCUUGGAAGUCCUCCUUCCCUCAGACCCACUGAACAUGGCCUUGGAACCCACGUAGCAUUCCAGUCCCAGGCCUGAAGUCUUCUCACUGCCCCUCAAUUGGACCCACCUUUUUCACCCAGCGCCUAACAGCUGAAUAGCUGCUCAGAUCUUGAAACAUACUCCAACCUAGAAGAUGUCUAGAAGUCAGGUGGGGUCAAAGAACAGGCCUCUACCCACAUUUAUGUGGAUAAACGAAGUCACAGCACAAGUCACCUACCCCACGUGGAAGACAGAUCCGCCAGCACUGUCUCCUGCUUGUCUGCUGAACCUGACAUGUGAACCCCCAUCUGGAUGUGGGGCUGGGGAGGUGGUUCCCGCCUGUCCCAGAGGCCCACCUAUUGUCCCUACACAGACAUGGGGUCCAGUAGCAACCCCCGCUGCUGCCUCUCCAAGAAAACGUGACCCAAAGAGCCCUGGCCACUCUCCAGGUGCUGACCAGGUGCCUGUUACUCUCAACAGACCUCCAUCGCCGCCAGAUACAGGCCCUCCUCCACUUUGCAGGCCGUCCAUACCACCCCCUCAGCCACUGCCUGCUACCUCCCCCUCCCCACAAGGCACUGUCCCAGCGCAGGGGCUUUCCUACUUUCACGAUUUGUCCCUGAAGCUGACAUCCUUCAGCCCCGAGAAAGUCAUCUUUCAGGUGGUUAGCCUUACUCACAGGAUGCUCCACAGGAUCCUCAGAGGCCUCCAGCCGGACACAAAUCAUGACCUGGUUUGAUCUUUAAAAUUUCUCAAAAUCUAAUUUUGAAGGCUUUCUUCAAUUCUUUUUAUCAUUAUAUAUACAUAUAAUUAUUUU